GUGCGAUGGUGGUUACGCUGAAGUGCAAUGGUCCACGCUGAAGUGCCAUGGUUAACACGCCGAAGUGCGAUGGUCACAUUGUGACGUUAACUUGUUCAUAGCUACGCUGAAGUGCGAUGGUUGUUACGCUGAAGUGCGAUGGUGGUUAACUCUUAAAGUGCGAUAGUCACAUUUUGAAGAUAAAUUAUACGCUGAAGUAUGCCUGUAACAAUGAUUAAAAAGCUAAAUAU
rnacentral:lncRNA from 1 species